UACGAAGGGGGCUAGCGUUGUUCGGAAUUACUGGGCGUAAAGCGUGCGCAGGCGGCUUCUCAAGUCAGGGGUGAAAGCCCAGAGCUCAACUCUGGAAUUGCCUUUGAGACUGAGUGGCUUGAGUACGAGAGAGGUGAGUGGAAUUCCCAGUGUAGAGGUGAAAUGCGUAGAUAUCAGGAGGAACACCGGUGGCGAAGGCGGGUCUCUGGGCCGAUACUGACGCUGAGGAGCGAAAGCGUGGGGAGCGAACAGG
rnacentral:rRNA from 1 species